CCGGACUCACGGGCAGGCUCAGCCUCUCAAAGCUGAAUUAGUCAAAGGUAGAGAGGGGGCAUGUGGAAUAGUUCCAGGGCCGGUGGGGAACCAGCACGUGCCCACUCCAGCAGAUCCAGGCCAGGGAUCUGGAUGGUGUUGGUUCAGACUGUCAUUCUUCAGGUCCCUGAGACUCUAGCUGCCUGCCCUGCAGGAGACAGUGGGCCUCCCUCAGUGGGGAUAUACACUGAAGGGGUAACCGAAGACCUGCCUACUUUCAAGUAUCUUCUCCCCUGGUCUACCAAUGGUUCCUGAAAUUCCCACCACAAAGACACUUUUAAGGUUUAUAGCCUUCAUCUCCAAAAAGCCUUAGUAAUUAUCUCAAUUUUGAAUAUGAGGAAAUGAAGGCUCUGUGUUCAAGUGACUUGCUCAAGCUCAAGAUCAACCACUGGAAAAUCAACAAAAUAUCUGGACUGCUAUGCUCUAAAGAUUUCCUGAGGCCUCACCUACUUUUCACAAGACCUCAACAACAACCUCAAGGACCUUAAAUUUCUGCCUGAUUCUUCAUGUGGAUGACCUUGGGUUGUGCUCUAAAGAGACGUACUCUAAGACCGAUUCCAGUGAUCUACUGUAUUCUUUCAGUGUUUUCAAAGAGAAGUUAUAAUGUGGUCAAAGUAAAGUUCAUUGUCCAGGACAUGAUUUAUCCCAAGGAGAUUAUGAAGUGGGCUGGUGAGGCUACCCUGCUUGGGGUACAUCAGGGCUCAGUGACCUUAAGGAGACCUCAUCAUUAAAGUACCAGAUCUAAAGACCUGAGAGGGGCGCCUGGCUGGCUCAGUUGGUGGAGCAUGCGG